GGGCGUCAGUUGUUUCGGCUUAGUUUUUCCUGCUUUUUUACGGUAUCGCCAAAUUUACUACAAAAAAUAGGAAAAUAUGAGCUGCCGGCUCCAAUGAAACAAUUGUUUUGUCAAGCGAUCCGGUUCCGAGUGCUCGCCAUGGAAGAAAAUAGAAUAGGCAAACCUCCUCCGCGACUUAGAAACUGGAAACAGAAAUAAAAAAUGCACAGCUGCCUGAAAAAUCAGACCCGAAAACGAAAAUUGUCAACCCGGAUGCAGGAUAACAAUUCCAAAGUAUUUCUUAAGGAACGAUGCGAACUUCAAUAAAGGCUCAUUAUGUGGUAUUUAGGUAUUUGAUUGAAGAGUCAUUCCGGAAAACCGAUGUUGUAUUCAAAUUAUGCUGGUUUGUCUAUUCCUGAUUCAACUUUGAUGGUGCUCAUAAACUCUUCAUGAGAUUUAUCGGAACGUGGAAGGACUGCCAU